GGGCCUGUAGUUCAAUUGGUUAGAACCGCCGGCUCAUAACCGGUAAGUUCCAGGUUCGAGUCCUGGCGGGCCCA
rnacentral:tRNA from 1 species